rnacentral:rRNA from 1 species
UUGACCUCAAAUCAGGUAGGACUACCCGCUGAACUUAAGCAUAUCAAUAAGCGGAGGAAAAGAAACUAACAAGGAUUCCCCUAGUAACUGCGAGUGAAGCGGGAAAAGCUCAAAUUUAAAAUCUGGCGGUCCUCGCGGCCGUCCGAGUUGUAAUCUGGAGAAGCGUUUUCCGCGUCGGACCGUGUACAAGUCUUCUGGAAUGGAGCGUCGUAGAGGGUGAGAAUCCCGUCUCUGACACGGACCGCCGAUGCUUUUGUGAUACGCUCUCGAAGAGUCGAGUUGUUUGGGAAUGCAGCUCAAAACGGGUGGUAAAUUCCAUCUAAAGCUAAAUAUUGGCGAGAGACCGAUAGCGAACAAGUACCGUGAGGGAAAGAUGAAAAGCACUUUGGAAAGAGAGUUAAACAGUACGUGAAAUUGUUGAAAGGGAAACGUUUGAAGUCAGUCGCGUCGGUCGAGACUCAACCUUGCUCUUUUGCUCGGCGCACUUCUCGGCCGACGGGUCAGCAUCAAUUUCGACCGUCGGAUAAAGGCCGAGGGAAUGUGGCAUCUUUCGGGAUGUGUUAUAGCCUUCGGUUCGCAUACGGCGAUCGGGAUUGAGGGACUCAGCGCGCCUUCAUCGGUCGGGGCUUCGGCUCACGUUAACGC